rnacentral:piRNA from 1 species
UGCACCAAGUCUACAGUGAACUUUCUUA